rnacentral:tRNA from 1 species
GGUGGUUAAGCACUUGACUUCUAACCAAAAGGUUGGUGGUUCAAACCCACUAGCCGCCU